AAAACUCAACAAGUACACAAAAGGCCCUGUCUUUUAUUUUGUUGCUUUCUUAUAUGGAAGGAUUCAUCUUGGUGUUUUGCUAGAAAUCAUUGUAUUAUUUUUUUAAGGGCAUAUUUCACACAUAUAAAAUGGAGGGUGCAAGGAAGAGAAAGCUAGCUAUCUGCUCCAGAAAAUGGGGAACUGGAAGGGUUGGAGGUACUUCAAGAGGAUGUCUAUCUACCCAAUUAAGAGUAUCCUCCUUAAAGUGACUUCAAAUUUCAUGUUCAAAUCUAAAGGAAACAGAAAUGGACUUCUGAAUCUUUAUAAAGAUAUGGAGUCUUGUGGAGAAUACUCAGAUAUCCAAGUUAUGUGGAAGAUGAUUGAGUCUUCCUCUCCUCAAAACACAUGUAACAAGAAAAGGAUCAACAUGUCUUCGUACUGGGUCAUGUGUUUUAGGCCAACUUGAAAUAUUGUUGUGUGGUUAUUUAAAUGGUGAUGAUUUUUACUUGAUGGAUGGAUCAGUCCAAAGGUUUAUUCAAAGUAUCAUAGGUAGAUGUAUGAGAAAGGGGAAUCAAAUUUUCUUCGAGUUCCAUUUCUUCAGCUUCUACUUCUUCCCACACAUCAUUAAUUAUGUUUCCAAGGGAAGUGAAAGUGAAUUAUCAGACUUUGAAUUAUUCAGUAUCAGCUGAGUUUUAGUCUAUAUUUUGGGUCUACAUUUCAGAAGUAAAGGUCUGCAUUAAAGUUUGUAAAUACAAGCUCGAGUUAUGUUCAUUUUGCAUACUAUAUGCUUUUAAAGCAACCCUGAUGUUGCUUUCAUUUGAAACUCAGUGUGCGAAUUACUAAACAGGAAACCAAAACAUCCACAAAUGAAGUUUGGUAAGACAAAUAUAGCUCAACAAUACAGCUGAACAGAAAUCAAAAGUAGCACAAAGCAUUGCCAUCCAUUUCCUUCAGAAAAGUAGAGCUCCUCCAUAAAAGAACCAGAAAUCACAUAAACUACGCAUUUAUCUGGUUAAGUUAAUAUAGGUGUUACCAGUGCAACUCUUACAAUUUACCAAUAUCCAAAUUGCCCAUUUCUAUGUGUAUCAUUUUCUUCCGAAAUACAGAUUUAUGCUUUGAUUUGAACCAGAAUGUAUAGGUAUAAGUAAGAAGAGUACUGCUUUUGAUACUUGUACUUGACAGAUGGCCUUCAAUUGAAGACAUUGUGUGCUUACACUCGUUUAUUGUCA